UGAGGAAUAUUGGUCAAUGGGCGAGAGCCUGAACCAGCCAAGUAGCGUGCAGGAUGACGGCCCUAUGGGUUGUAAACUGCUUUUAUAUGGGAAUAAAGUGAGGGACGUGUCCCUUAUUGCAUGUACCAUACGAAUAAGGACCGGCUAAUUCCGUGCUAGCAGCCGCGGUAAUACGGAAGGUCCAGGCGUUAUUCGGAUUUAUUGGGUUUAAAGGGAGCGUAGGCUGUUUGUUAAGCGUGUUGUGAAAUGUAGGAGCUCAACUUGUAGAUUGCAGCGCGAACUGGCUGACUUGAGUGCGCACAACGUAGGCGGAAUUCAUGGUGUAGCGGUGAAAUGCUUAGAUAUCAUGACGAACUCCGAUUGCGAAGGCAGCUUACGGGAGCGCAACUGACACUAAAGAUCGAAGGUGAGGGUAUCGAACAGG
rnacentral:rRNA from 1 species